CACUGUAGAAAUAUAUAUAUAUAUAUAUAUAUAUCUUUGUGUAUAUAUAUUUUUCUCUUUUCCUAUAGGAAGGAGGCAAGAAGCCAAGUGGCAGGAUAUAUGCUGACAAAGCUGAAAAGAUGACAAUCUCACAGAAGAAAAUUGGAGACAGCAGGAGCAUCUUGUCUCCCUCCAGCAGAACAGUGAGCCAGAAUGAAAUGUCUGCUUCCUGUUGGAUCUUGGAGUCACAAUGUGAAAAUGUGGAUGGUUUGGGUCCAGCAGAAUUUUUGGGGAUGAAGAAGAAGGAGGAGCACGAGAAAUCCGUAUUCUUGUAUUGGCAGCAAAAUCCAGGUCAGGUUUGCGGUUGGUAUACUGUUGUAUGACUACACUGACCUUAAUGUUGUUUUGCUAGUUCAUAGCAGCUAUGAAUCUGGC
rnacentral:lncRNA from 1 species